ACGGGAGGCAGCAGUGAGGAAUAUUGGUCAAUGGACGGAAGUCUGAACCAGCCAAGUCGCGUGCGGGAUGAAGGCCCUACGGGUCGUAAACCGCUUUUGUACGGGGAUAAAGUCACCCACGUGUGGGUGUUUGUAGGUACCGUAAGAAUAAGGAUCGGCUAACUCCGUGCCAGCAGCCGCGGUAAUACGGAGGAUCCGAGCGGUAUCCGGAUUUAUUGGGUUUAAAGGGUGCGCAGGCGGGCUGUUAAGUCUACAGUGAAAUGUCAGGGCUCAACCUUGGCACUGCCGUAGAUACUGGCGGCCUUGAGAGUGGCGGAGGUAUGCGGAAUGUGUGGUGUAGCGGUGAAAUGCAUAGAUAUCACACAGAACACCGAUUGCGAAGGCAGGAUUCCAUACCAUAUCUGACGCUCAGGCACGAAAGCGUGGGGAUCAAACAGGAUUAGAUACCCUGGUA
rnacentral:rRNA from 1 species